AAGCGUACACGGUGGAUGCCCUGGCAGUCAGAGGCGAUGAAGGACGUGCUAAUCUGCGAAAAGCGUCGGUAAGGUGAUAUGAACCGUUAUAGCCGGCGAUGUCCGAAUGGGGAAACCCAGUGUGAUUCGUCACACUAUCGUUAACUGAAUACAUAGGUUAACGAGGCGAACCGGGGGAACUGAAACAUCUAAGUACCCCGAGGAAAAGAAAUCAACCGAGAUU
rnacentral:rRNA from 1 species